rnacentral:tRNA from 1 species
GACAGCGUGUCCGAGUGGUUAAGGAGAUGGACUUGAAAUCUAUUAGGCUCUGCCUGCACAGGUUCGAAUUCUGCCGCUGUCG